rnacentral:rRNA from 1 species
GAUUUCUAGCCGACCGCGAUAGCCCGGUCUCGAAAGAGGCUGUGUGCAGUCGCAGGUUAGCUUUCCUUCCAGCGAACUUUGCCUACCGCUUCUGCGGCCGGGCAAAGUGAACUGGAUCUUUUACUUUGAAAAAAUUAGAGUGUUCCAAGCAGGCUUACGCCUGAAUACAUUAGCAUGGAAUAAUAAUAUAGGACUUUGGUUCUAUUUUGUUGGUUUCCGGACCAAGGUAAUGAUUGAUAGGGAUCGUUGGGGGUGCUAGUAUUCAGCGGCCAGAGGUGAAAUUCUUGGAUUCGCUGAAGACUAACUACUGCGAAAGCAUU